GAUGAACGCUAGCUACAGGCUUAACACAUGCAAGUCGAGGGGUAACAAGAGGAAAGCUUGCUUUUCUUGUUGACGACCGGCGCACGGGUGAGUAACGCGUAUCCAACCUGCCUAUAACUAGGGAAUAACCUUGCGAAAGUAAGACUAAUACCCUAUGAUUUCCUUUGAUGACAUCAGAUUAGGAAUAAAGAUUUAUCGGUUAUAGAUGGGGAUGCGUCUGAUUAGCUUGUUGGCGGGGUAACGGCCCACCAAGGCAACGAUCAGUAGGGGUUCUGAGAGGAAGGUCACCCACAUUGGAACUGAGACACGGUCCAAACUCCUACGGGAGGCAGCAGUGAGGAAUAUUGGUCAAUGGGCGGAAGCCUGAACCAGCCAGGUCGCGUGAAGGAUGAAGGUAUUAUGUAUUGUAAACUUCUUUUAUAAGGGAAUAAAGUGUUGGACGUGUCCAAUUUUGUAUGUACCUUAUGAAUAAGGAUCGGCUAACUCCGUGCCAGCAGCCGCCGCAG
rnacentral:rRNA from 1 species